UCCCCGGUGAUCCAGCAGUAGGAUGCCGCUCUGUUAAAGCGGACGCGCUGGUGCGACCCCAGCCCGGGGAGCCA
rnacentral:tRNA from 1 species